CUGGCUGUGAUGAGACGCGCAGGGGAACGGACCUCAGCUGAUGAUGGGAGCUGAGUGCCAGUGGCUUAACGCAGAUCAGCAGGCAUGUGGUCAGCUGACUGCCGGCCGCUGGCAUGAGACCGCACUGUCUGAGCCAU